GGCAGCGGAGACAGAGCCGAGAGCCGGCGGCGGAGCCCGAGCAGAACGCGCGGCCAACUGGCUCGGCGGGAUAUGAGACACCCGUCAUAAGCUCCGGAGAGUUGCCUUCCACAGAGACCAGCAGAGGAGUGGGCCAACAUGAAGUCCAGUCCUGCCAUCCAAGCUGCCAUUGACCUCACAGCGGGGGCUGCAGAUAGACAUCACAAGUAGGCAGAGAGGCAGGCAGAGAGAGAGG